GCUGUUAAAUCUAGAACUGGAGGUGGUGGCGGCGGACAUCCAGGUGGUGGUGGUGGUGGGGCAGAUCCCUUUUUAGCCCAGACCAAGCCAGUGGUGUGAUGUUGUUUGACAAAGGCUUGGAGCUCGGUUAGAGUUUGAAUCCAAGAUUUCACCCAAUCAACAUGUUUCUUAUCCUUUUCCUUCCAAUCUUUCAGGACCCUGUUCGUAUAAAACUGUCCGGCAUCGUUCAUUUCUUUCACAUAGGGAGCAGGAGCAGGGCU